rnacentral:lncRNA from 1 species
AUGCUCAAAAUUCUCCAAGCCAGGCUUCAGCAAUACAUGAACCAUGAACUUCAGAUAUUCAAGCUGGUUUCAGAAAAGGCAGAGGAACCAGAGAUCAAAUUGCCAACAUCCGCUGGAUCAUCAAAAAACCAAGAGCAUUCCAGAAAAACAUCUAUUUAUGCUUUAUUGACUAUGCCAAAGCCUUUGACUGUGUGGAUCACAAUAAACUGGAAAAUUCUGAAAGAGAUGGGAAUACCAGACCACCUGACCUGCUUCUUGAGAAAUCUGUAUGCAGGUCAGGAAGUAACAGUUAGAACUGGACAUGGAACAACAGACUGGUUCCAAAUAGGAAAAGGAGUAUGUCAAGGCUGUAUAUUGUCACCCUGCUUAUUUAACUUCUAUGCAGAGUACAUCAUGAGAAACGCUGGACUGGAAGAAGCACAAGCUGGAAUCAAGAUUGCCGGGAGAAAUAUCAGUAACCUCAGAUAUGCAGAUGACACCACCCUUAUGGCAGAAAGUGAAGAGGAGCUAAAAAGCCUCUUGAAGAAAGUGAAAGAGGAGAGUGAAAAAGUUGGCUUAAAGCUCAACAUUCAGAAAACGAAGAUCAUGGCAUCUGGUCCCAUCAUUUCAUGGGAAAUAGAUGGGGAAACAGUGGAAACAGUGUCAGACUUUAUUUUUCUGGGCUCCAAAAUCACUGCAGAUGGUGACUGCAGCCAUGAAAUUAAGAGAUGCUUACUCCUUGGAAGAAAAGUUAUGACCAACCUAGAAAGCAUAUUCAAAAGCAGAGAUAUUACCUUGCCAACAAAGGUCUGUUUAGUCAAGGCUAUGGUUUUUCCUGUGGUCAUGUAUGGAUGUGAGAGUUGGAUUUUGAAGAAAGCUGAGCGCCGAAGAAUUGAUGCUUUUGAACUAUGGUGUUGGAGAAGACUCUUGAGAGUCCCUUGGACUGCACGGAGAUCCAACCAGUCCAUCCUAAAGGAGAUCAAUCCUGAGUGUUCAUUGGAAGGACUGAUGCUGAAGCUGAAGCUCCAAUACUUUGGCCACCUCAUGCGAAGAGUUGACAGGUUAGAAAAGACCCUGAUGCUGGGAGGGAUUGGGGGCAGGAGGAGAAAGGACGACAGAGGAAGAGAUGGCUGGAUGGCAUCACCGACUCGAUGGACGUGA